rnacentral:rRNA from 1 species
AGCGAACGCUGGCGGCAGGCUUAACACAUGCAAGUCGAACGCCCCGCAAGGGGAGUGGCAGACGGGUGAGUAACACGUGGGAACGUACCCUUUGGUUCGGAAUAACUUGGGGAAACUCAGGCUAAUUCCGGAUAAGCCCUUAUGGGAAAAGGUUUAUUGCAGAAGGUUGGGCCCGCGUCUGAUUAGCUAGUUGGUGAGGUAACGGCUUACCAAGGCGACGAUCAGUAGCUGGUCUGAGAGGAUGAUCAGCCACACUGGGACUGAGACACGGCCCAGACUCCUACGGGAGGCAGCAGUGGGGAAUAUUGGACAAUGGGGGAAACCCUGAUCCAGCCAUGCCGCGUGAGUGAUGAAGGCCUUAGGGUUGUAAAGCUCUUUUACCCGGGACGAUAAUGACUGUACCGGGAGAAUAAGCCCCGGCUAACUUCGUGCCAGCCGCCGCCGUAA